CCCUUAGAUGUCCGGGACCGCACGCGCGCUACACUGAAGGAAUCAGCGUGGCUUUCUCCCUGACCCGAAAGGGUUGGGAAACCCGUUGAAUCUCCUUCGUGAUAGGGAUUGGGGCUUGAAAUUGUUCCCCAUGAACGAGGAAUUCCCAGUAAGCGCAAGUCAUCAGCUUGCGUUGAUUACGUCCCUGCCCUUUGUACACACCGCCCGUCGCUACUACCGAUUGAAUGGUUUAGUGAGAUCCUUGGAUCGGCCCUGUCGCGGCUGGCAACGGCCGCGUCGGCGCGUCGAGAAGACGAUCAAACUUGAUCAUUUAGAGGAAGUAAAAGUCGUAACA
rnacentral:rRNA from 1 species